GGCGGCAUGCCUAAUACAUGCAAAUCGAACGAAGUACUUGUACUGAGUGGUGAACGGGUGAGUAACACGUAUCCAAUCUACCCUUUGGUUGGGGAUAACUAGUCGAAAGACUGGCUAAUACCGAAUAUCAAUAAUACUAUCGCAUGAGAAAUUAUUGAAAGUUCCGUAUGGAACGCCUUUGGAUGAGGGUGCGGCAUAUCAGAUAGUUGGUGAGGUAACGGCCCACCAAGUCAAUGACGUGUAGCUGUACUGAGAGGUAAAACAGCCACAAUGGGACUGAGACACGGCCCAUACUCCUACGGGAGGCAGCAGUGGGGAAUAUUGCACAAUGGGCGCAAGCCUGAUGCAGCGACGCCGCGUGGGGGAUGAAGGCCUUCGGGUUGUAAACCUCUUUCAGUAUCGACGAAGCUGGAUGGUUUUCUGUUUGGUGACGGUAGGUACAGAAGAAGCACCGGCCAACUACGUGCCAGCAGCCGCGGUAAUACGUAGGGUGCGAGCGUUAUCCGGAAUCACUGGGCGUAAAGAGCUCGUAGGUGGUUUGUCGCGUCGUCCGUGAAAACUCACAGCUUAACUGUGGGCGUGCGGGCGAUACGGGCAGGCUUGAGUACUGUAGGGGAGACUGGAAUUCCUGGUGUAGCGGUGGAAUGCGCAGAUAUCAGGAGGAACACCGGUGGCGAAGGCGGGUCUCUGGGCAGUAACUGACGCUGAGGAGCGAAAGCGUGGGGAGCGAACAGGAUUAGAUACCCUGGUAGUCCACGCUGUAAACGGUGGGUACUAGGUGUGGGUUUCCUUCCUUUAGGGAUCCGUGCCGUAGCUAACGCAUUAAGUACCCCGCCUGGGGAGUACGGCCGCAAGGCUAAAACUCAAAGGAAUUGACGGGGGCCCGCACAAGCGGCGGAGCAUGUGGAUUAAUUCGAUGCAACGCGAAGAACCUUACCUGGGUUUGACAUGCGCAGGACGACUGCAGAGAUGUGGUUUCCCUUGUGGCCUGUGUGCAGGUGGUGCAUGGCUGUCGUCAGCUCGUGUCGUGAGAUGUUGGGUUAAGUCCCGCGACGAGCGCAACCCUUGUCUCAUGUUGCCAGCACGUUAUGGUGGGGACUCGUGAGAGACUGCCGGGGUUAACUCGGAGGAAGGUGGGGAUGACGUCAAGUCAUCAUGCCCCUUAUGUCCAGGGCUUCACACAUGCUACAAUGGCCGGUACAGAGGGCUGCGAGAUUGUAAGGUUGAGCGAAUCCUUUAAAGCCGGUCUCAGUUCGGAUUGGGGUCUGCAACUCGACCCCAUGAAGUCGGAGUCGCUAGUAAUCGCAGAUCAGCAAUGCUGCGGUGAAUACGUUCCCGGGCCUUGUACACACCGCCCGUCACGUCAUGAAAGUCGGUAACACCCGAAGCCAGUGGCCUAACCUUUUGGGGGGAGCUGUCGAAGG
rnacentral:rRNA from 1 species